GAGAUUAAAGCGAAUAAAGUGAAAAUAUGAGGUAAUCUGGUAACAAUGACACGAAGCGAUAUACCCGCUCUUGGCAAGCGCGGGGGAGGAGCCAGCGGGGGACAGAGGUGGAGCCACGAGGCCUGUGGGAGGAGCAGCGGCAGACGAAGCCACGCCUCCCAACUAUUUCCUUUCCAUCACACACCCGCCAAAGCCGCAUAGUUCAGCGAUGCAAGCAUUGUCUUCCUCCCGCCAGAGUGCCAAUCAAUCACGCGGAGGCGACGCCGGGAGGACGAGUUCCUCUCGCGAGUCGACGCCGAUCGAGCGCGCGAGCAGCGAGUUCGACAAUGUCUAUUGGCCGCAAGAAGAUAUUUAUCAUCGCCGAGACACCGGCCAAACCCUCCCUUCGGCCCCCUCGCCCCAAGGUGCAAUUUGCAUACGCAUUCAAGAUCUCACAGAUUACGCGCGCGGCUCCGCUCUGCAAAGUGUCUGAAAACAAACGCUCUACGGUUUCUAACGCUUGACGUGCGACAAGUGGAGGCGUCCAUUAGAGGGUUGAUUAACAUGUCAGAAAGAGUGUGAACGGGCGGGGGCCCAUGUGUCGCUCUGUUGUGAAGGAACAGUUCAUGAUAUUAACAAUAAUAAUCACCAUAAAAUCACGGAAAAAAAUAGUUUUUACUCUGAUAAUGAUUUACUGGAAUUGUUCAGAAAGGAAGAAAAUGAGAAGGAAUGGAACGAGAGAGAAAGCAGUGAGUGACGUUGCAGUGAAAAGAACAAGAAGGAAGGAAGAGGGAAGAGCGAGGCGCCUGGUGAUCCGCUCCUGGAGACUCGGGUUCCUGAGGUCAAGAGAAAAUUGGAUCCCGUCAUGUCAAAGAAAGAAAACGGGUGACCGACAGAAGGCGAAUCCAUCAGGAUGGCAUCGUAAAAAGCGACAAUUAAGAAUCCUGGUCGGCCGCCCGGAAGCUGCACAGCGAAGCCAAGUAUGUAAAUUUCGGUUAUCGUUCCCAUACUUGGCGAGACCCGAGGGAUGUGAACGAAAGGAGCACGUGCGGAGGCCUCGGAUCUAAUGAG